rnacentral:rRNA from 1 species
UACGUAGGUGGCAAGCGUUGUCCGGAAUUAUUGGGCGUAAAGCGCGCGCAGGCGGUUCCUUAAGUCUGAUGUGAAGGCCCACGGCUCAACCGUGGAGGGUCAUUGGAAACUGGGGAACUUGAGUGCAGGAGAGAAGAGUGGAAUUCCACGUGUAGCGGUGAAAUGCGUAGAGAUGUGGAGGAACACCAGUGGCGAAGGCGACUCUUUGGCCUGUAACUGACGCUGAGGCGCGAAAGCGUGGGGAGCAAACAGG